rnacentral:rRNA from 1 species
AUUGAACGCUGGCGGCAGGCCUAACACAUGCAAGUCGAACGGUAACAGGAAACAGCUUGCUGUUUCGCUGACGAGUGGCGGACGGGUGAGUAAUGUCUGGGAAACUUCCUGAUGGAGGGGGAUAACUACUGGAAACGGUAGCUAAUACCGCAUAACGUCGCAAGACCAAAGAGGGGGACCCUCGGGCCUCUUGCCAUCGGAUGUGCCCAGAUGGGAUUAGCUUGUUGGUGGGGUAACAGCUCACCAAGGCGACGAUCCCUAGCUGGUCUGAGAGGAUGACCAGCCACACUGGAACUGAGACACGGUCCAGACUCCUACGGGAGGCAGCAGUGGGGAAUAUUGCACAAUGGGCGCAAGCCUGAUGCAGCCAUGCCGCGUGUAUGAAGAAGGCCUUCGGGUUGUAAAGUACUUUCAGCGGGGAGGAAGGGAGUAAAGUUAAUACCUUUGCUCAUUGACGUUACCCGCAGAAGAAGCACCGGCUAACUCCGUG